GGGUGCGUAGCUCAAUGGUAGAGCAGUGGUCUCUUAAGCCAUUGGUUGAGCGUUCGAGUCGCUCCGCACCCACCA
rnacentral:tRNA from 2 species